AACCAACAGGGAUUGCCCCAGUAACGGCGAGUGAAGCGGCAACAGCUCAAAUUUGAAAUCUGGCCCCUCCGGGUCCGAGUUGUAAUUUGUAGAGGAUGCUUGAGGUGCCGCCCGAGUUCCCUGGACGCCACAGAGGGUGAGAGCCCCGUCUGGCUGGCCACCGAGCCUCUGUAAAGCUCCUUCGACGAGUCGAGUAGUUUGGGAAUGCUGCUCAAAAUGGGAGGUAUAUGUCUUCUAAAGCUGGCCAGAGAUAGCGCACAAGUAGAGUGAUCGAAAGAUGAAAAGCACCUUGAAAAGAGGGUUAAACAGUACGUGAAAUUGUUGAAAGGGAAGCGCUUGUGACCAGACUUGGGCGCGGCGGAUCAUCCGGGGUUCUCUCCGGUGCACUUCGCCGCGUUCAGGCCAGCAUCAGUUCGUCGCGGGGGAAAAAGGCUUCGGGAACGUGGCUCCUCCGGGAGUGUUAUAGCCCGUUGCAUAAUACCCUGCGGUGGACUGAGGACCGCGCAUCUGCAAGAUG
rnacentral:rRNA from 1 species